UCGAGAAUCUUUGUCAAUGGGCGCAAGCCUGGACAAGCGAUGCCGCGUGCGGGAUGAAGGCCUUCGGGUUGUAAACCGCUGUCAGAGGGGAGCAAAUUUUGAGCGAUCCUCAGAGGAAGCCCGGGCUAAGUUCGUGCCAGCAGCCGCGGUAAUACGAACCGGGCGAACGUUAUUCGGAAUUACUGGGCUUAAAGGGUGCGUAGGCGGCGCUGUAAGUCGGGUGUGAAAUCCCACGGCUCAACCGUGGAAUUGCGCCCGAUACUGCAGUGCUUGAGGAAGAUAGAGGUGAGCGGAACGAAUGGUGGAGCGGUGAAAUGCGUUGAUAUCAUUCGGAACACCCGUGGCGAAAGCGGCUCACUGGGUCUUUUCUGACGCUGAUGCACGAAAGCUAGGGGGAGCGAACGGGAUUAGAUACCCCGGUAGUCCUAGCCGUAAACGAUGAGCACUAGAUCGGGGAGUCCAACACAACUUCUCGAUCGUAGCGAAAGUGUUAAGUCG
rnacentral:rRNA from 1 species